GGCAUAAGCUAGCCAUGUCUUGGAUUGACCAUAUCGUCUUAUAUUUGUCUAUAAUUGCGAUCGGUCAAUACUAUGACCCGAGCGCAGGUACAUGGAUUUCAGGAAAAUGAUUUGUAAACGACUUGAAGAUCCUAUUUAAAUAAAGUUAAAAUUCAAGUAUGUGUUGUUGUUGGAUUGGAAAUUGCUUCUAUGAUUUUUAAAUUGUUCCUGUAAACUAUUGUUUUAAUUUAAAGGAGUGAAGUAUCUCAAUUUCACUCGAUUUCCCGUGACUACUCUCAUUACUCAUUACUCUUACUCAUUUUUAAUUUGUCGACCAAAAUGAAGCAUCGACGUUUUUAAUAAUACCAGGGUUUGUAUAUCGAAAGUUUUCUUGUCAAACUCUACAUA